UUUUGUUCAGGGGACAAACCUGUACCUGCAAGGUGAAAGGAGACAACAGGAAGAAGUGAAGCAUUCGGUGUGCUGUUUCAGACUCGGUUUUAGAGCGGUGGACAGGGCCUUCUUCGUAACCACUAGCAAGCAGCAUCUGGGAUUUUAAGAGGAGAAAUAAGAAACUGGAAGAGACAGAGAUAGCAGAAUCUAGGAAGAGAACGUGAAUCGUAGUGCAGUGAGAUCACAUGGGCAGAAAGCAGAUCGGCAAGCAUUAAGACCCAGGUGGGUGCUCUAGGCAAUCUGGACUCUGCAGCACA